CUCCUUCUAGCGCCAGUGUUAACGCCAAGUUUCGUCGGCGCGUCCAAUCACAGAAUCCACGCGCUUGAACCUGCACAAUAACAGAUCACACACGAAGCUUGACGGUUUGUGCCGCUGGAGGAUAGCUCUAGUGUGAGAAUAAGUACAGGCCAUUCACAAGGUUUAACAAAGGAGGCUAAGUGUUUAGUGCUCAAAGAUGUAUUACCUCUUAAUUGUAACCCUGACCUUGUAUUUAUAAUGUUCUCGUACCUUAGAAUCCCUUUCUGAGUCGAUUUAGGACUCCUAAACAUGGCAGUUACCAU
rnacentral:lncRNA from 1 species